rnacentral:rRNA from 1 species
CCUACGGGUGACAGCAGUGAGGAAUAUUGGUCAAUGGGCGCGAGUCUGAACCAGCCAAGUCGCGUGAGGGAAGAAGGUCCUACGGAUUGUAAACCUCUUUUGCCCGGGGGCAAAAGACUCCACUCGUGGCGGUCUGAGAGUACCCGAAGAAUAAGCACCGGCUAAUUCCGUGCCAGCAGCCGCGGUAAUACGGAGGACCCGAGCGUUAUCCGGAUUUAUUGGGGUUAAAGGGUGCGUAGGCGGGAGAUCAAGUCAGCGGUAAAAUCGGGAGGCUCAACCGCGUCGAGCCGUUGAAACUGGUUGUCUUGAGUGAACAAGAAGCAUGCGGAAUGCGUGGUGUAGCGGUGAAAUGCAUAGAUAUCACGCAGAACUCCGAUUGCGAAGGCAGCAUACCGGCGCGCGACUGACGCUCAUGCACGAAGGUGUGGGUAUCAAACAGGAUUAGAUACCCGUGUAGUC